CAGAUGUUUGGAGAUGGAGAAGUGAGUGCAGUGCCAUCCCCAGAAGAGAGGGGGUUAUAGCCCGCUCACUGUGUUAUUUUCUAUUCUCCUCUGCUGCUUUUAAACCACUGAGAACUUGCUCUGACUUCCAGAAUCCCAAAUUGGUUUUUCUUUCCUUUCUCCGUUUAUAACCUAGGACCAGUUUGAGGAUUUCGGGUUGAAUCCAGGUCUCUCUGCUGUGGAUCCCCUGCC